UAGGAACAGUUGAGAUUAAAGACCUCAGAAGCACGGCCAGAGGGAGGCACCUUCUGAAGUCUUCUACACAAAGCUUUUCUGGAAACUGUGAUGACAGCUACUGGUGGGAAAAAAUCACCAGCAACCACAGUCACUUCCCUGCUGCCAGGUCAUUCCUUCAACCAGCUACUGAAACGAAAAGAGCCUCAGGUCAGGACUGUUCCGCUGAGGCACAAUGGCUGUUUCCACACGUCACCCCGGCUGAAUUGACCGCUGCGGAGGCUUCCAUUUCCCACAGCACCUCAAGAGCUCCUCCAUGCCCUUCAGGGCUCGCUCUUGCAACUGGCCUAGCGGCGCCGACAGGUGCAGCGAGCGGAGCCGCCUCGCGCCUUCCCGUCAGUCGGCCGCGCCCUCGCUGCCCCGCCCC